CACAUUUAUUUGUACCAGAAAACUUUCCUGCUUUCAUCUAGAACAGAGAUUGUCCAGAACAACAAUGUCCAUUCCACUUCUGCCAUUGUAUCCAUAGUGACAGCUCUUCUAUUUGCAUACUGUUAUCAUGUAAUCCCAGUUCAGCUGUUUACUCACGUUAUUGACUUGAAUAUGCGUGAUGGCAUAGGUGAGUGCUUUAGAUGUGAUACUGGACUGAAGGAAAUUUCAAUUCCUUAUUAUUUCAGUUAUUCCUUCUGGAGAAUCAAAGUUGAAGUACGUUUCACAGAUGAGAGUCAUUUCUGUAUGACCUUGUUGAGAUGAAUGGUAUCUGCAGUAACAUGGCUCCUGCCUACUGAAGAUGGGAAAGAAGUGGGUGGUUCUUUAAUGGAAAGUAACCUUAAGCAUUUAAAGCAUGUGAUGAGAAAGCUGACUUUGUCCUGUGUAUGCAGUUAAAGACUUUCAUACCGUUCCAGGUGUCAGUGACACAACACCGCCACCAUGCAGUGAGUUGGAUGGAUGCCUGAAAAUAUGCUAGCCCUUCAGAGUUCCAGCAGCCCUCCCAGAACUGCAUGCAGUACUGCAUUCACUCCAGGACACAAAAUGAACUUUUGUAGUAGAAUCAAGGACAUGGAAAUAAGAAAACCUACGGACACAAUCGACUUACAGUGUUCAGUAAGUGGAAGAAUUACUUAGAGUCACGUGAGUGGCCGCCUCUGUACAUCCAGCAUGUGCUCAGUCCUGGCUGCUAUCUGUACAGGCUCUUCUGCUGCGAGAAAAAUUGAGACUUCAUAGAAACCGUGUCACCAAGCCCUUUGAAUCAGGUAAUGUCACAUCUAACUUGCAAUAUUGAGUGCUAGCUCCCGUAAAAUAUUGUUCCUGCUAUUUAAAUACUGCUGUACUCUUCACUCUACAGAACCUGGCCCCAUGCAAAACCUUUUAGACUUCAGUGUCUCUUUGCUUCAGGGCCUAACCUCGGGUUCAUAAAAUAUUUGUAGCUGUCAGCCCAGUGCAUCCACAGAAACUGCACAGAUGCAGAAAGCCUAUCUGAUGUAGUGUUAGUAAGAAUAAUUUAGAGCUGCAAAUAUUUAGCAGAUUUUUAACAGAUACAUAUAUAUACACUACAUAUGUAAAUGCAUACAUAUCAGACAAAGUAUACAUGAGAAAAUCUGUGAUUGCUUUGGUGAUGGUACAUCCAAACUGGGCUGUUAGCAAUGAAAAAUGUCUUUAACAUAUCAAGACAGUACUUGAAAGUUCAGUUACAUCUUUACAUUUGUGAUACUCAGUCUUGUUUCAUAUUGGAGGUUGCUGACGAGACAUGUCAUUUUAACACUUUUUUACUGCUCUGUUAUAAUUCUGUCAAGCCUUGGUCUUUUGCUCUCAAAAACUGCAGGACAGAAUAUCUGCCCUGGCCUCCAGAUCUGUCUUUUGUAUGUUUUUAGCUAAUUGGAAAAGUGAAGCCACCUAGGAGCUAACAUACAGCUUUAUUUGUGGUUAUGAUCACAGAAUGCAUGAGGUUUGGUUGUUGGUAUGCGUUGUGUUGCUGUGUUCUGCACUUGGCUACUUGCAGUGCCCAUCCAGUGCCUGGAGGACAGGGGGAAAUAAGGAAGAGCCUGGCUUGGAAUUUGGGAGUGCUAUAUUAAAUGUGAGAAAGAGAGAUCAAGUCAUGAAUUGUGCCUGUAUUUAGCCUGUGUGAAGCACUGCCUAAGUGCAGAAUACUGCUGGUCCUUCGUUUCGCUACAGAAAAUGAAUUCUGGUAUGUUGUGCAGCAGAUAAACCCUCAAGGAAAUCAACACUGUGGUUCUCAGGAUUUGAAUGAUGUACAAUAAAUAAGGCCUGAGGUCACAUAAUGAACGUCAUUAAGGGAAAUAAAACAUGAAAUAGCUGUGUGUUAAGCUGAUGGCAUGCGUUCUGUGCGCUGCAUGAGGAAAGAGUCUGUGAGAAGAGUGGUGUGUUAUCAAGUGACUGCAGUCAGUGCCUCAGUUCAGAAGCAGAGGAAAGAUAGUGUCAGCUGGUGUUUCUGAACUGACAGUUGCAACUGACAAUUUUAACGUAUAAUUAUGCAGUUAGCCUUUACAGGACCUCAGCUCUUCUGAUUCUGUCCUUUCCAAAAAUUGGCUCAUGUGCACUGUGCCACUGCCCAGUGUUACAGCAUGCUGGUUGGAACAGGCUGCUAUGUACUUUGUGUGUGCAGAAAUGAUCUUAGUAAUAGCAGGUAUUAGAUUCAGGCAUUUCUCCUUUCUUAGAGUUCUUUUCCUCCGUUACGAGACAAGCUGGCAGAGUUCAGGACCAUGAUUUACAUAGUCAGGACUUCGCUGUACAGUGAGGCUGCAGCUCUCUCAAAUGCUGCUGUGCGGCAACUUGGCUUUAGAAGAACCAAUGUUUUCUUUUUCAUUUUGAGGUGAUGGUUUCUGACAAGCAGUUCCACUGGAAGUGGUGAUGCAGUGGCAGGGGCUGUGCGGGGCGGUGGUGCAGUCACCAUCCCUGGACGUGUUGAAGAACCGUGGAGAUGUGGCAGUGAGGGACGUGGUCAGUGGGGAUGGGUUGGUGGAUUGGAUGUGGUGGCCUUUAGAGGUCUGUUCCAACCUUAAUGAUUCUGUGAUUCUGUGAGUAUAGGCAGGUUUUCAGGCAUUUGUUCUGAAAGCUUCUGGGUAGCAACGGUCUGCUUGUUUGUGCUAGGUGGAAGCCAACCGGUGCUCAUUUGGGCCGCUCAUGACAGCUUCACGUGAGCACAGAAAUAGGAGAUUUUACACAGAACGUCCAACAGACAGUGGGAUUUCAGUUUGGACGUUUCUGCAUUAAGCAUCUCAGGUUACACGGGAUAAUCCUCAUCCCGGGGAAAUUCAGUCGUCUUUUGAGUACUGCUGCAGUGCAGGAACGCGGGAGCUCUUUAUCCCCCCUGGAUAUUUGUUUACAAGUAAAAAGCAUCCGUAAAGCUUUUCGCUCGCUUCUCCCCUUGGGGAUACCCCCGCUUUCGCCCGUUCGUGGCUUCUCCUUGCUGAGCCUCAACGGCGUCACAUCUGCCAGGCGAACGUACGGGACAGGGAGAGCUCCCGGCGGGAUUUGCGCGGGGAAGGCCGCUGGGAGGGGGUUAGUUAGGGUUUCCACCCGGGCCGGGACGCGGCUCUUUG
ensembl:lncRNA